rnacentral:rRNA from 1 species
CGCGUAGGCGGCCUGGACAGUCGGGCGUGAAAUUCCUGGGCUCAACCUGGGGGCUGCGUUCGAGACGUUUGGGCUGGAGUGCGGAAGAGGGUCGUGGAAUUCCCAGUGUAGAGGUGAAAUUCGUAGAUAUUGGGAAGAACACCGGUGGCGAAGGCGGCGACCUGGUCCGUGACUGACGCUGAGGCGCGAAAGCGUGGGGAGCAAACAGGAUUAGAUACCCUGGUAGUCCACGCUGUAAACGAUGUGCGCUGGAUGUUGGGGGGCUUAGCCUUUCAGUGUCGUAGCCAACGCGGUAAGCGCACCGCCUGGGGAGUACGGCCGCAAGGUUGAA